rnacentral:lncRNA from 1 species
AGUACUCGAUUGUUAGUAAAGUAAAGUAUAACCUGUCCCUCUUUUACUAUUCUUUUUUUAGUACCAGUAGUACUGCAGUACUUGUAAAUUUUGAUAUUGUCUUCUCUGUGUGGAUCUAGCUGCAUGGAUAAUGAAUAUCUAUUAUUGAUCUAUGUGAGUAUUAGCAUGUACGAAAAAAGAAAAGGUGAGGAGUCAAAAAGCAAUUUCAGGUCUAUCGUUCAUAAAAAGCUGUUGAGAAUUAUAUUUAAUGAGUAAUUAGUAGAUAAUUUUCAUCAUUAAAAAUCCCCAAUGACAAUUCCCAUAGAAGGUACUCCAUCAGUCAUGAAAUAGAGUGCAUUAUGACUUCUAAAAUUUGUAUUAAAAUAUAAUGCAUUAUACAUAAUGAUUAUGUUUCGAUUUGGUAAGAUUUGUUAAAAAGAAAGCUACGAUUUGAAAAGAAGUUCUAUAAUUAGAAUAAUCUAGGGGGUAUAUGCGUCACUUAAGUAUUCUCUUAAGUUGUUUUAAAAUUUAUAGAACGCAUUAUAUUACAUGAUAGAUGGAGUAGAGAGGAGCGUGUGCAGUCUAUCCGCACGCUCUCUAACGAAGAAACUACACUCCAAUUUGUGUAUCUUGCUAAUAUACUCCUCGGUCCUAAAAUAUAGUGCAUUGUAGCUUCUAAAAUUUGUAUUAAAAUAUAGUGUAUUCUAAGUUUGUUAAAAAAAACCAUAAUUUGAGGAAAGACUCCUUAACUAAAUAUAAUCCAUGGGUACCUAUGUCAUUUGAGUAUUCCAUUAAGUCAUCUUAAAAAAUUAAAAUGCUAGUACAAGACAAAGGGAAUACUAAUUAGAAGUUAUAAAUGGAGACCUCAUUUUAAUUUUCAUCAGACAGGCUAUAAAAAAGAUGGAACAUUCUCACAACUCCAAACAUCAUCACUAAUAAUAGUAAUUGGAUUUUUUUACAAUUUAUAAAAGAAUUACCUACCACUGCAAUUAAAAAAUACAUAAAGUUAACCCCACCUCCUAUUUUUGCAUCUAAACUACUCAUCUGUGCUAUUAUGAAAGAUAAUUCAAAAUAAUCUCUAACUUUGUACAUAAAUUACCUACAUAUGUCAUUAUGAAAAAUAAUUCAAAAUAGACCCCAAACAUUGCAUAUAAAUUAUCUACCUUUGCCAUUAUGAAAGAUAAUUUAAAUUAACAUUGUAACUUUGUAUCUAAAUUACCCACAUUGAUGAUUAAUAUAUAUAUAUAUAUAUAUAUAUAUAUAAUACCCUUAAUGAUUUCAUAGACUACCAACCUUUUUCACUAUGAAACCUCCUAGGUCAGCAUGCAAACUACCUAUAUAUGUGAAAGAUAAUAUAAAGUAUUACUGUUAUAUUUAUAUUCUAACUCGGUCACUAUAAAAAAUAUAAACAAAAAAUAUGUUAAAUCUACAUGUAAAUGCUAAUAUAUAUUGUUACAAAAAAAAAAAUUUGUAUCCAUGAAGUCAGGGGCGGGUCUAGGCCCGGGCUGCCCGGGGUGUGGCCCAAAAAUCCAUUUAAUACCUCCAUUAUCCAGCCUAAAUUAGCCCAUGAAAAUAUAUAUAUUUAGCCCUACCCGAUGCAGCCCAAAAUACCCUUACACUAUUUUUUGCCCCCCUUAGAGAUGUUUCUGGAUCCGCCACUGCAUGAAGUAUGAGACAUAUAUUCAAACUUCAACAACCAAGAAACUUGAUAACCAUAAUGCUAUGUUUCACUAUACAUACCAAAUAAACACGUAUACACUAUAUUUUCCGUGCAUUCAACUUAACACGUAUCAUCCUUAUAGGCUUCCUCCCAACUACCCGAGUGAAUUGCCAGGGCAAUUUGCUUUGCUCGCCAAGCCUUUCCAUAAGUGACCUCUUACCCAACAAAAGUGAUUAUGGUCUCCUGCAAGAAAGACACUGAUACGUCGUUGUCCUUAUCUACAAGACCCAAUAUACGGCGAGCAAGGUACCGAGCCGUCAACUGGAGAUGAUACCGUUUGCCCUCGUUAGUCUGGCAUCUGUGGGGCUGCUCCACUGAAGUUUCCUUCCACUUCCCAUCACUCGACAUUUUUCCGUGCAUUCAACUUUCAUGAGCACGGGAAUCCUGCCUUACAUACUAUGUGGAAUUUUACC